CGGGGGUGGAGUAAUGUCUGGGAAACGUGCCUGAUGGAGGGGGGAGAAUGCUGGAAACGGGGGCUAAUACCGCAUAACGUCGCAAGACCAAAGAGGGGGACCGUUCGGGCCUCUUGCCAUCGGAUGUGCCCAGAUGGGAUUAGCUAGUAGGUGGGGUAACGGCUCACCUAGGCGACGAUCCCUAGCUGGUCUGAGAGGAUGACCAGCCACACUGGAACUGAGACACGGUCCAG
rnacentral:rRNA from 1 species